UACGAAGGGGGCUAGCGUUGUUCGGAUUUACUGGGCGUAAAGCGCACGUAGGCGGAUCGUUAAGUCGGGGGUGAAAUCCUGGAGCUCAACUCCAGAACUGCCUUCGAUACUGGCGAUCUAGAGUCCGGAAGAGGUGAGUGGAACUCCUAGUGUAGAGGUGGAAUUCGUAGAUAUUAGGAAGAACACCAGUGGCGAAGGCGGCUCACUGGUCCGGUACUGACGCUGAGGAGCGAAAGCGUGGGUAGCGAACAGG
rnacentral:rRNA from 1 species